AUUUCAUCCAGCACUGCAGGCUUUGGAGAAGCCACAUCCACCAAAUUUUGUCUUCAGUGGAGCCUGGAGUUCAUCCUUCAUGCUGGAGCCAGAGGAAGCUGCAUCAUCAAUUUCCAUCAAUUUUACUGCUGCACAAAUAAUGUGCUGCUAUAGUUCUUCCACAGGUCAAUUCCUGCAUGAGGAUAUCAGGGAACAAAUCUAUGGCAGAGCCUCAGCCCAAGAGCAGAGGAGAGACCUUUCUUCUUGAUGAAAUGGUGAUUCCCAGAUGGUGCUGUCCUAGAUGGAGGAUGCUCAGAUUUUCUUUAUUCCAUUCCAGUCUAUGGCUGAGACUAACCUUUGGUAAAAGCUGCUCUUUUCUCUUGGGAAUGUGCUGA